AGGGUUUGAUCAUGGCUCAGGAUGAACGCUGGCGGCGUGCUUAACACAUGCAAGUCGAACGAACCUUCGGGUUAGUGGCGGACGGGUGAGUAACGCGUGAGAAUCUGCCCUCAGGAGGGGGAUAACGGUUGGAAACGACCGCUAAUACCCCAUAUGCCUACUGGUGAAAUGAAUUUCGCCUGAGGAUGAGCUCGCGUCUGAUUAGCUAGUUGGUGAGGUAAUGGCUCACCAAGGCUUCGAUCAGUAGCUGGUCUGAGAGGAUGAUCAGCCACACUGGGACUGAGACACGGCCCAGACUCCUACGGGAGGCAGCAGUGGGGAAUUUUCCGCAAUGGGCGAAAGCCUGACGGAGCAACGCCGCGUGAGGGACGAAGGCCUCUGGGCUGUAAACCUCUUUUCUCAAGGAAGAAGAUAUGACGGUACUUGAGGAAUAAGCCACGGCUAAUUCCGUGCCAGCAGCCGCGGUAAUACGGGAGUGGCAAGCGUUAUCCGGAAUUAUUGGGCGUAAAGCGUCCGCAGGCGGCUUUUCAAGUCUGCUGUUAAAGCGUGGAGCUUAACUCCAUCAUGGCAGUGGAAACUGAAAGGCUUGAGUAUGGUAGGGGCAGAGGGAAUUCCCGGUGUAGCGGUGAAAUGCGUAGAUAUCGGGAAGAACACCAGUGGCGAAGGCGCUCUGCUGGGCCAUUACUGACGCUCAUGGACGAAAGCCAGGGGAGCGAAAGGGAUUAGAUACCCCUGUAGUCCUGGCCGUAAACGAUGAACACUAGGUGUCGGGGGAAUCGACCCCUUCGGUGUCGUAGCUAACGCGUUAAGUGUUCCGCCUGGGGAGUACGCACGCAAGUGUGAAACUCAAAGGAAUUGACGGGGGCCCGCACAAGCGGUGGAGUAUGUGGUUUAAUUCGAUGCAACGCGAAGAACCUUACCAGGGUUUGACAUCCUGCGAACCUCUUAGAAAUUUGAGGGUGCCUUCGGGAAUGCAGUGACAGGUGGUGCAUGGCUGUCGUCAGCUCGUGUCGUGAGAUGUUGGGUUAAGUCCCGCAACGAGCGCAACCCACGUUUUUAGUUGCCAGCAUUUAGUUGGGCACUCUAGAAAGACCGCCGGUGAUAAACCGGAGGAAGGUGUGGAUGACGUCAAGUCAUCAUGCCCCUUACACCCUGGGCUACACACGUACUACAAUGCUACGGACAAAGGGCAGCAAACUCGCGAGAGCUAGCAAAUCCCAUAAACCGUAGCUCAGUUCAGAUCGUAGGCUGCAACUCGCCUACGUGAAGCAGGAAUCGCUAGUAAUCGCAGGUCAGCAUACUGCGGUGAAUACGUUCCCGGGCCUUGUACACACCGCCCGUCACACCAUGGAAGUUGGCCAUGCCCGAAGUCGUUACUCCAACCCUUGUGGAGGAGGACGCCGAAGGUGGGGCUAAUGACUGGGGUGAAGUCAUAACAAGGUAACCGUA
rnacentral:rRNA from 1 species